AAAUAUGAGAUUCUUCGAAGCUUGCAGAUCUAAAACUGAUGUCAUGACUUGCUGGCCGUUAGGGUAUACUAGGAAACAGGUAUAUCUGCCAUUGCGCAAAGAAGAACAUUGCUAAUAAAG
rfam:Sporomusa sp. An4 isolate Sporomusa ovata strain An4 genome assembly, contig: SPAN4DRAFT_scaffold-1